rnacentral:misc_RNA from 1 species
CACUCAGAUUCCUUGAUCGUUUAUCAGCGCACAUUAGCCUAUCGUUGAACUUUAGCACUAUACGGCGUAAGAAAUUCUUCUAGCUACAUUGAAAUAAACCUUCACGAUUUAUUUUGUUUG